UAACACUGGCGGCGUGUCUACACAUGCAAGUCGAACGAGGCGGAGCGGGGCAACUCGCUCCAGUCGAGUGGCGGACGGGUGAGUAACACGUGGGUAACCUGCCCGGAAGUGGGGAAUACCUCGGGGAAACUCGAGCUAAUACCGCAUGACAUCUUCGGAACGGAAGUUCUGACGAUCAAAGCGGGGUCGCAAGAUCUCGCGCUACCGGAUGGGCCCGCGCCCGAUUAGCUAGUUGGCGAGGUAACGGCUCACCAAGGCUUCGAUCGGUAACCGGCCUGAGAGGGCGAUCGGUCACACCGGAACUGAGACACGGUCCGGACUCCUACGGGAGGCAGCAGUGGGGAAUCUUGCGCAAUGGGCGAAAGCCUGACGCAGCAACGCCGCGUGGAGGAUGAAGGCCUUUGGGUUGUAAACUCCUGUCGGCUGGGAAGAAAUCGUACGGUGCUCAUACCACCGUGCGUUGACUGUACUAGCAAAGGAAGCCCCGGCUAACUCUGUGCCAGCAGCCGCG
rnacentral:rRNA from 1 species